GUCCAGACUUGAUACAACUCUCUCCACCAUGGUCUCUGGUGUCCUCAGGUCCAGACUUGAUACAACUCUCUCCACCAUGGUCUCUGGUGUCCUCAGGUCCAGGCUCGAUACAACUCUCUCCACCAUGGUCUCUG